CCUACGGGAGACAGCAGUGAGGAAUAUUGGUCAAUGGACGAGAGUCUGAACCAGCCAAGUAGCGUGAAGGAUGACUGCCCUAUGGGUUGUAAACUUCUUUUAUAAAGGAAUAAAACGAGGCACGUGUGCCUGUUUGCAUGUACUUUAUGAAUAAGGAUCGGCUAACUCCGUGCCAGCAGCCGCGGUAAUACGGAGGAUCCGAGCGUUAUCCGGAUUUAUUGGGUUUAAAGGGUGCGUAGAUGGGUUGUUAAGUCAGUUGUGAAAGUUUGCGGCUCAUCCGUAAAAUUGCAAUUGAUACUGGCAGUCUUGAGUACAGUUGAGGUAGGCGGAAUUCGUGGUGUAGCGGUGAAAUGCUUAGAUAUCACGAAGAACCCCGAUUGCGAAGGCAGCUUACUAAACUGUGACUGACAUUGAUGCUCGAAAGUGUGGGUAUCAAACAGGAUUAGAUACCCCUGUAGUC
rnacentral:rRNA from 1 species